GGAAAGCCUGAUCACAACUUGGUUCAGCUCGGUAGCUAGAAUCAUAUUUUGUACGCGGUCUAUCGUAGAAGCAAUUGAGUUAAGGAAUGAACAAAAUCAUGGCAUACAUAUGAUUCUUAUUCGUUUAUGCAUAGAACUGUCACAUUUACAAAAUCUGAUCAUAAUCAAAAUAAGUACCAGGGUUGACUACUGGCUGGGACAGGGAGAAAUCCUGUUCUAAUUUUAGUAUUUAAAACAUAAUAAAAUGUGAAAUGAACCUUAUUCUAUAGAGUCAAUAUGACAUGGAACAAACAACUUAGUGAAAACUUUAAAGAACAUUCAUGUUUCCUUUUGCUGAAAAUAUAUAUUCUGAUUGUUGUAGGACAAUUUAGACGCGCGCAGCCAAUGAGAUCAGUGUUUGGUUUUUGGCUUCUUCACAAUCAUCACAGUGCAAUGAGCAUGAUGAGCACAGUAGUCCUUACACUACCUAAUACCGCCCUGCAAUUANNN
rnacentral:lncRNA from 1 species